rnacentral:rRNA from 1 species
UACGAAGGGGGCUAGCGUUGCUCGGAAUCACUGGGCGUAAAGGGUGCGUAGGCGGGUCUUUUAAGUCAGGGGUGAAAUCCUGGAGCUCAACCCCAGAACUGCCUUUGAUACUGGCGAUCUCGAGUCCGGAAGAGGUGAGUGGAACUCCUAGUGUAGAGGUGGAAUUCGUAGAUAUUAGGAAGAACACCAGUGGCGAAGGCGCUCAUCUGGCCCAAUACUGACGCUAAAGCGCGAAAGCUAGGGGAGCAAACGGG